rnacentral:rRNA from 1 species
CGGUGGAUGAGUUGUGUAUAGGGGUGAAAUGCCAAUCGAACCCGGAGCUAGCUGGUUCUCCCUGAAAGGCGUUGAGGCACCGCGUCGGACGUAUCUUAUAGGGGGUAGAGCACUAGUUCGGUGCGGGCGGAGAAAAUCCGUACCAAAUCGAGUUAAACUCCGAAUACCUAUAACGUUUAUCCGGCAGUGAGACGGCGAGAGAUAAGUUCCGUCGUCGAGAGGGAAACAGCCCAGACCACCGACUAAGGACCCCAAGUUCACGCUAAGUGAUUAAGGAGGUGGAGUUGCAUUGACAACCAGGAUGUUGGCUUAGAAGCAGCCACCAUUGAAAGAAAGCGUAAUAGCUCACUGGUCAAGCGACUCUGCGCCGAAAACGUACGGGGCUAAGCGUGACUCCGAAAUCGUGGGAGCGAUACUAUUUCGAUAGUAUUUUUCAGUAAGGGAGCGUCGUGUUGUAGGCUGAAGUGAGAGCGUAAGCACUCAUGGACGAAGCACGAGUGAGAAUGUCGGCUUAAGUAGCGAAAACAUUGGUUAGAAUCCAAUGCACCGAAAGACUAAGGGUUCCUGCGCAAGGCUCGACCACGCAGGGUUAGUCAGGGGCUAAGGCGAGGCCGAAAGGCGUAGUCGAUGCACAACGGGUUAAUAUUCCCGUACCACCUAAUAACCGUUAGGAGCUAAGUCGGAAAGCAGGAGGCUAUGCGAAAGGGGCCAAUGGAUAUGGUCUCCUCCAACAGCGUAGGUAGUUUCAGUAGGCAAAUCCGCUGAGACGUUAUAAACUGAGGCUAAGUAAGGUAGAUUCCACGGAAUCAACUUCGUAGAUGCCAUGCUGCCGAGAAAAGCGGCGAAAGCCAGGUUAGUGGGUGCCUGUACCCGAAACCGACACAGGUAGUCAGGUAGAGUAUACCAAGGUGCGCGAGAUAACUCUCUCUAAGGAACUCGGCAAAUUGACCUCGUAACUUCGGAAGAAGAGGUGCCAUGGUAGAGUGUAGGCCUUCGCGGUCGAAGCUCGAGAUGGUUGCAAAAUCUAGGCUCAAGCGACUGUUUAACAAAAACACAGGUCUCUGCAAAACCGUAAGGUGAAGUAUAGGGGCUGACGCGUGCCCAGUGCCGGAAGGUUAAGUGGAGCGGUCAGCGUAAGCGAAGCUGCAAAACAAAGCCCCGGUGAACGGCGGCCGUAACUAUAACGGUCCUAAGGUAGCGAAAUUCCUUGUCGGGUAAGUUCCGACCCGCACGAAACGCGUAACGAUUUGAGCACUGUCUCGGAGAGAGGCUCGGCGAAAUAGGAGUGUCUGUGAAGAUACGGACUAGGCGUGCCAGGACAGAAAGACCCUAUUGAGCUUUACUGUAGGCUGAAAUUGUCCGCGGGUUAUAUUUGCGCAGAAUAGGUGGGAAGCUUUGAAGCGAGGAUUUCGGUUCUCGUGGAGCUAUCGUUGAGAUACCACUCUGAUGUAGCUAGCGUACUAACCUCGUUCCAUGAAUCUGGGCGGGGAACAGUUUCAGUUGGGCAGUUUGAC